AGAUUGAACGCUAGCGGGAUGCUUUACACAUGCAAGUCGAACGGCAGCGCGGACUUCGGUCUGGCGGCGAGUGGCGAACGGGUGAGUAAUAUAUCGGAACGUGCCCAGUAGCGGGGGAUAACUACGCGAAAGCGUGGCUAAUACCGCAUACGCCCUACGGGGGAAAGGGGGGGAUCGCAAGACCUCUCACUAUUGGAGCGGCCGAUAUCAGAUUAGCUAGUUGGUGAGGUAAAGGCUCACCAAGGCGACGAUCUGUAGCUGGUUUGAGAGGACGACAGCCACACUGGGACUGAGACACGGCCCAGACUCCUACGGGAGCAGCGAGUGGGAAUUUGGACAAGUGGGGAAACCUGACUCCAGCACUCCCGCGUGUGCGAU
rnacentral:rRNA from 1 species